rnacentral:SRP_RNA from 1 species
GCCGGGCACUGUGGCACAUGCCUGUAGUCCCAGCUACUCAGGAGGCUGAGGCUGGAGGAUCUCUUGAGCCCAGGAGUUCUGGGCUGUAGUGCCCUAUACCAAUCGGGUAUCCGCACUAAGUUCGGCAUCAAUAUGGUGACUUCCCAGGAGCAGGGGACCAUCAGGUUGUCUAAGGAGGGGUGAACCGGCCCAGGUCAGAAACGGAGCAGGUCAAUACUCCCGUGCUGAUCAGUAGUGGGAUUGCACCUGUGAAUAGCCACUACACUCCAGGCUGGGCAAUGUAGUGAGACCCCAUCUCU